AGCGAACGCUGGCGGUAGGCCUAACACAUGCAAGUCGAACGGCAGCACAGUAAGAGCUUGCUCUUACGGGUGGCGAGUGGCGGACGGGUGAGGAAUACAUCGGAAUCUACUUUUUCGUGGGGGAUAACGUAGGGAAACUUACUCUAAUACCGCAUACGACCUACGGGUGAAAGCAGUGGAUCUUCGGACCUUGCGCGAUUGAAUGAGCCGAUGUCGGAUUAGCUAGUUGGCGGGGUAAAGGCCCACCAAGGCGACGAUCCGUAGCUGGUCUGAGAGGAUGAUCAGCCACACUGGAACUGAGACACGGUCCAGACUCCUACGGGAGGCAGCAGUGGGGAAUAUUGGACAAUGGGCGCAAGCCUGAUCCAGCCAUACCGCGUGGGUGAAGAAGGCCUUCGGGUUGUAAAGCCCUUUUGUUGGGAAAGAAAAGCAGCAGGUUAAUACCCCGCUGUUCUGACGGUACCCAAAGAAUAAGCACCGGCUAACUUCGUG
rnacentral:rRNA from 1 species